GUGGUGUAAAUGGUUAACAUGUUCAGUUGCUAACCGAAAGGUUGGAGGUUCAAGUCCACCC
rnacentral:tRNA from 1 species